rnacentral:lncRNA from 1 species
AACCUGAAGGCGUCUGAACCCCUGCUGAGUUGAUUCCCCAACCUCACACUAAAGGAACAAUCUCAAUUUUCUCUCAAAUUUUAGAUCUAAAUUUUGAUCUCCUCGAUUGAAAUUUUAGAUCUAAAGUUCCUCAGCCUUCAUCUACUUCAUCCAUAGAUCACACUACAAGCUUGAACAUCAAGAAUUCAUGCUCUCAAGCUCUCCAUUCAAAGGUUUUGAUCAACUGGUUUUUG